rnacentral:lncRNA from 1 species
UGGGAGUUCUCAACCCAACAACGCUGCCGUCCCUAAUGACAAUGCUGCCACUGCCAACCUCACGUCUGUCACUAACAGCAGUGCCAACAAUGCCACUACUACUAGCAACAGCAACAAUAAAAUCACCAAUAAUUCCAAUUUCACUGCAAAUUAGGAGAAACCAAGAUGAUCAUCUUCCAUUCUUUUAUAUAUUCAUAUAUGUUUAUUUAGAAAGAAGGGCAUGCCCUUUAGUUUUUUUUUUCCUUCCUUUCGUUAAAGAACAAAGUUCAAAAAUCAAAUCAUACAUAUCUCUAGCCAGUUUGCUUUUUCCCUCGAUUGCUAUAAACAUUAGAGUAAAUUGCACCGGUACCCACCCAAUUUUGUCCAAUGUUUCGUUUUGGUUAGUUAACUAGGGUUACAAUUUCAUCAUUAACGUCAUUAAGAUUGUUUUUUAUCAUCCCAGUGUGUGACACUAGUAUAAUAAUAAAUUGGUUAAUAUAUGUAACAAGUUGUUGUAAUUUCUAAAAUUUUGAAAUUUAGUCAUUAUGCUUUAAUUUUUAUGAACUUAGUUCAUUUAUUUUUUAGAUUUCAAAAUUUUAUAAUCAUUAUUAUUGAAAAGAUUUUACUUGAAUAUCACCCAGUCUGAAUAGAAUUUGACUCAAAACUGAUGAUGACACAAAAAAAUAUUUUAACCUAAUAUAUCUAGUCCUUGAGCUUUUAUACUUUCUACCAAUUUUGAUGAUGAUUGUAUAUAAAAAAUGAUAAAAAUCAUAAAUCUUUUAAAAGAAAUUAUAUUCUUAAAACUACAUAGAAAAUUAUAAAAAGAAGAUAUAAGUAGAUAAAAAUCAAAAUAUACAUGAGUUUAUUUAAUUGCUUAAACAAACCCCAUUUAUCUCCAAAACUUAAAAGUACCUCAGCUGUUGUGGCUGUUACAUACAACUUGUGUCCUGCGAAGAUCAAACUCAACUCCCACUCCCCUCGUGUUAUUGCUGUAACUUGGGAGCUAUUAUAGGUUGGGUUGGGGUAAGGGAUGGGAGGAUUGGGGUUCGGGUAAUGGGGAUUGUGGUGAGACAAUGGUUUUGGUGAAGUCGAAAUUGACGAGAUUUCGCUCAUCGCCAACAACCUCCGCACCCACUGCCGCCUCUUCCUCUCCCCAUUUCUCC